GUGCUCACUUGAACAGUACAUAUACGGAAAUUGAAAUGAUACAGAGAUUAGCAUGGCCUCUGGGCAAGGAUUACACUCAAGUUCAUGAAAUGCUCCAUAUUUUU
ensembl:snRNA U6 U6 spliceosomal RNA